rnacentral:rRNA from 1 species
AUGACAAUAAACAAAUCACAAGGUCAGACAAUAGCAAAUGUCGGCGUCUACUUGCCUGAACCGGUAUUCUCACAUGGUCCACUAUAUGUUGCACUUUCUAGAGCGACCACGACAGCAAACAUAAAGGUACUAACAGGUACACAUGAUGAGAACAAGGAGAAGAAUAAGAAGAUCAGUACAAGUGACACAUACACAAAGGAGACAUACACAAAGAAUAUUGUCUACACAGAAGUCCUCACCAAAUAG